AGCAGUAGGGAAUAUUGGGCAAUGGGCGAGAGCCUGACCCAGCCAUGCCGCGUGCAGGAAGAAGGCUUUCUGAGUCGUAAACUGCUUUUGACAGGGAAGAAUAAGGGCUACGUGUAGCUUGAUGACGGUACCUGCAGAAUAAGCACCGGCUAACUCCGUGCCAGCAGCCGCGGUAAUACGGAGGGUGCGAGCGUUGUCCGGAUUUAUUGGGUUUAAAGGGUGCGUAGGCGGCCUGUUAAGUCUGGGGUGAAAGCCCGUUGCUCAACAACGGAACUGCCCUGGAUACUGACAGGCUUGAGUACAGACGAGGUUGGCGGAAUGGACUGAGUAGCGGUGAAAUGCAUAGAUACAGUCCAGAACCCCGAUUGCGAAGGCAGCUGACUAGGCUGUUACUGACGCUGAGG
rnacentral:rRNA from 1 species